CUAACAAGGAACCAACUUUUAGGAGCCACUACAUUAAACAGUCAUAUUUCCUCAGGCUUAAAAAUUGGCAAAGGACAUCAGCAGCAAUUUGCAAAAAGGACAAAGUAUGUGCUCAGUAAAAAUGGGAAGGAAAAAAAGUGUAGCUCAUGGUAAGAAAACCUAGCUAAAAUGAAUUACCAUUUUCAUCUUUUAAAUUGGCA
rnacentral:lncRNA from 13 species